UGUUUGAAGCCCAGCUCUGCGCGCUAAGAACCUCCGCCGGCCGAGCCGGCUACUUCCAGUUUAACGCUCCGCUAACUUGAAUGGGGAUUAAAUGAUUUCAUUGUGC